GACCAACGCUGGCGGCGUGCCUAAUACAUGCAAGUCGAACGCACAGUUUAUACCUUCGCUUGCUACACCAUACACUGUGAGUUGCGAACGGGUGAGUAACGCGUAGGUAACCUGCCUGGUAGCGGGGGAUAACUAUUGGAAACGCUAGCUAAUACCGCAUAAUAUUAAUUAUUGCAUGAUCAUUGCUUGAACGAUGCAAUUUCAUCACUACCAGAUGGACGUGCGUUGUAUUGGCUAGUAGGGGAGGUAACGGGUCACCUAGGCGACGAGACAUCGCCCACCUGAGAGGGUGAUCGGCCACACUGGGAACGAGACAAGGCCCAGACUCCUACGGGAGGCAGCAGUAGGGAAUCUUCGGCAAUGGACGAAAGUCUUACCGAGCAACGCCGCGUGAGUGAAGAAGGGUGUCGGAUCGUAAAGCUCCGUUGUAAGAGAAGAACGGGUGUGAGAGUGGAAAGUUCACACUGUGACGGUAUCUUACCAGAAAGGGACGGCUAACUACGUG
rnacentral:rRNA from 1 species